rnacentral:rRNA from 1 species
UGGGGAAUAUUGCACAAUGGGGGAAACCCUGAUGCAGCGACGCCGCGUGAGCGAAGAAGUAUUUCGGUAUGUAAAGCUCUAUCAGCAGGGAAGAAAAAAAUGACGGUACCUGAGUAAGAAGCACCGGCUAAAUACGUGCCAGCAGCCGCGGUAAUACGUAUGGUGCAAGCGUUAUCCGGAUUUACUGGGUGUAAAGGGAGCGUAGGCGGCGCGUUAAGUCUGAUGUGAAAACCCGAGGCUCAACCACGGGAGUGCAUUGGAAACUGGCGGGCUGGAGUGCCGGAGAGGUAAGCGGAAUUCCUA